ensembl:lncRNA
CAGUACUCUCCAUCAGGCCGCCGCUCUGAGCCCUUUGAAGUCCUCAUUUAACGUAGAGAGCUGCAUCUCUCACAUUUGACAAGACAGUUGGGAGCCGUCGAGUAAGCGCCUACAGAGAGUUAAUAUUCCAAAAUAAACAUUACAUUAAAGUUUUUUGGAAAGUGGUAGCCUAUAAUUGAGAGAGUUUAUAAAAAAAAUAUAGAUAUAAUAAUAAGUGGAAUAAAUAAAUAGGCACGCGCGUAAUGGCAAAUCUUUUUUCCAACAAAACCAUGAGGCUCAAGUGGAUGCGCGUGUCUCUUUUGAUCUUGGUUCUAUUCCUGGGUGACUCCCGCGGCUCCCAGGUGAAGUUUGGCCGCUUGGACCGGUGGGUGAAGACCGGGUUUCAGUACCUGAAGUUAAACCUGUGCCGCAGGGUAUCUCUGUCUGAGGGCGAAUGUAAGCGGCUGUCCCAUCUUCAGCUCAGCGGGGUGGCCGUGUACGUUUCCGAGCCAAACUCCGAAAAAGUACUCGCCAUUCUUCCAGAUUCCUAUUCUUCAGGGAUGCUACCGCCGAAGCAGGGCGGUUACGGGAUGAGUUCGGUACUGGAGGACAGUAGAAGACAUCACGAUUUCUUCCCGGGAUCGACUGCGCAUGAUGCCGUGUUGGUGUUGGAUCCCAGUCCCGGAGAGAGUUUCGGACAUCCUGUGGUUCUCUUUUAUGUGGACCUAAACACGACCAAGAAAAAAUGUGCACAUAUGGAUGGAAUUUAUUUAGGAGAGGAGUGUCUGACCCUGGCCCUAAAGAGUCGCUGUCAGAACCAGCUGAAGCGUCGUCAGAGCGGCAGUGAGAGGCUGGCGGGGAGCGGGCGCGCCCGCAGGGCUACCGUGUUGAGGCCCAGGAGCAGCCCGGGGAGGAUGGAGCGCAGCGGGGCUCUCUGUGAGAUACAUUUCCUUCCCAUGGUGGUCGGGGUCAGGGAUACCAACCGGACGCAGAGGCUACGAUGCGUGGACCACCCAGACUUUGCCCAGUGCCCCCAGCCUCUACCCCUCACCAGCCCCAACAUGCCAGUGUCCAGCUGUGAGCUCAACAAGAACACCAGGCGAUGCCACCAGCAGCCCCUGGCUACACACCUGUCCUGUCGUCUCUACCAGACCUGUGACCAUGCUAUACUACUCUCAGGUGGAUGGCAGCAACAGAUCACGUACCAGUGUCACGUUCAGAACCUACAGCUCUUCUACAGGAUGCUGAGGAACAACGGCUUCCACAGAGAUCACAUCAAGACCUUCUUCGCUGGGAACGGACAGCUCUCAGAGGAGUGGGUAUACCCAGCUACAGAGAAACGAGUGAUAAGGAACCACAUCUCUUAUAUCUGUGGGAAGCAGCACUGUGCAGACUCCCUGGUCCUCUACCUCAACAGCCCCACCAGGAACGACGGGACCAUGCUGCUCUGGGAUGGCAACUACAAUGGCAUAGCGGACCUGAAGGAGCGCUACAGUGUGGGAGAGCUGCUAGCGGACUUGGCAGGCUGCAGGGCGAGACGAGUACUAGUCUUCGUAGAGCAGAGUUACAGCGGGGUGCUCAGUAAGAGACUGAAAGCAUCUCUGAAACACCUGAACGUGGUGCUGCUCAACAUAGCCGACAGCUGGGCCUCGCUGCACCCAGCAACAUGCCUUAUAGACCACCUGAGUAAGGAUUCAGGGAUGUCCCGCCUCCCGACCCCAAAUCCAGCCUUUUGGAUGUCAACCUAUCUGGUGCGCCCUGUAACACAACUCCACCUCUGAGCGAAGCAGAGAUGAGGAAGGAGUACAUGGGCUGUCAGAACCUCCCCACCGCCCUGUGGUACCAGAACCACAACCAGAACCUCCC